rnacentral:rRNA from 1 species
GACGGAGGUGGCAAACGCUGUUCGGAAUCACUGGGCUUAAAGGGCGUGUAGGCGGCCGAUCAAGUCGGGUGUGAAAUCCCUCGGCUCAACCGAGGAACUGCAUUCGAUACUGGUCAGCUAGAGUGCGAGAGGGGUGAGUGGAACUCCAGGUGUAGCGGUGAAAUGCGUAGAUAUCUGGAGGAACGCCGGUGGCGAAAGCGACUCACUGGCUCGCAACUGACGCUGAGGCGCGAAAGCUAGGGGAGCGAACGGG